ensembl:lncRNA MIR663AHG MIR663A host gene
GGUGACGCGUGCGCCGGCCGGCCGCCGAGGGGCUACCGUUCUGCCUCCGACCGGUCGUGUAAAUACUAGGCUUUAGAAUUUCACCAUAUGAAUUUUGGGAGAGAGGAGCACAGUUCAGCCCAUAACUAACACACGACGGAAUGAAGUUGAUAAUAGUGAGACCUUGUUGGUACAAGACUAUGUAACAUAACCUGCGCUUCUCAACAAAGAAUUGCUUUUCUGACUUCUGCACUCAAUAGCAAGACAAAUCUCUCCUCUGCCUUCUCCUUAUCAGACUACUCAACAUGAAGGCAAUAAGAAUGAAGACCUCUAUGUAUAAUAAUUGACUUCCACUUAAUAAAUAAGCAACACGCUGUCCUGGAUAGCUAACGUGUUUAUGAAUGCAAGGAAAUUUUCAAAAAGGGAGUUUGAAAUUUAACUCCACAAACUACUAUCUGGAUUGGAAUGCUACAUUAAAUGUAUUAUAAUUUUGUAUGGACAUAUAAGGAUGGGGAAUGAAAAGCAUCCAAGGCCAUAUGUUGAUAAUCUUUUGAUAUGUUAAGAAAUAAUCUAGUGUUAUUUUCUAUUUCUUCUCAAAUGUUUUUAGAGGUUACUUGGUACACUGGUCGACAAAACCUUGAAAUGUUGAUGUUUAAGGGCUGUUGAUUGCUGGCAGCAAAGAAGUCCAACUGUGCUGGUACCCGAGAUAGCGUCUCCACAUUUUCUUCCAGGAUCAUCACCUUUGUUCUAAAUAGCUCCCACAUAGUGUGAACAGAAGUCAUAUGUUUUAGAUUUUCUGCCUUGGCACCCAGGAAACCAGUAUGAUUGAGUAAACAUAUUAAACUUCCUCUGCAUUUCCAGCCUGAACAGAUGUUGAGUACAAGCUGAUCCACCUACGUUCAACCUGAGAGAGUCCACAUCCACAGACUGUUUCAUUUCCCUUUUUCAAUUUACAUAGAAGCAUAGAUUCUUGCUGGCAUAUACAAAUGCGCCAUUUAAGGCAAUCAAAAAUGGUUCCACAUCUCAUCUGAUUUCCACAAUUGUUGCUGUAACGAUGGACUACUGAGGAGAGAGACAAUUUCUCUGGCACAUCUUCCCACAUUUUAGCAACAUGUUCAUGGAGAGCCAAUAUUCAGUAAUUACAGCCCAAUUCCUCACAAUUUCACAAUUCGCUAACAAUAUGCAUUUUCACAAUGUAAAGCUGAUUUUCCUUUAACCAAAUCAAACAUGAAAAGAUAGCUGCAUGCAAUGGGCAAUCUAGAUCAUUAGAAGAUUGAUGUAAAAUUAGAGGACACUGAGACUGGAAUAGAUUGCAAACUUCAGGGAGCUCAGAAAACUUGUAAACUCUACAUUUUGAGGAAAUAUGUUGUCGAUGCUUUUGCAACUCUAUGCAGUAACUUAACAAAUAAAGCCUUAAAGUAAC